GAGAGAGAGAGAGAGCUCUGUACCUUAUAAGACCUGUGUCUUCCAACAUCAUGACAAACAGAAAAAAAUUCACUAUUGUCUACUAUGACGCAGCUUUCAUCAAGCUUCAUCUUACAAGAUGAAGCCCUGUUGGUAAUAUCAUCAAUGGAGUUGUCUGAUUUUCCCGUAACAAUGUAGAAAUUUAUACUCAUAUUGCAACACUCUUCUAUCACAAGGGUCAGUUAAAUGCAAAACUAAACAUAAAAUAAAUAGUCUAACAUCUAAAUUAGGGUGUUUUCCUUCUUAUCAUCAGCUCAGCUCUUGCAACUCUUCAUACGCUGUAUUAUGUUUCUUUUAAAAUUAGAACCCAUCAACAAGAGUUGAUAUUCAAGGCUUUAUUUCAAAUGCCAAGGGCACAUAGCUACGCAUAUGCAUGACAAGAAUUUGAGUUUGAGAAUGAAUAGCUAUUUUGCAAA
rnacentral:misc_RNA from 1 species